AAAAAAAAAAAAAAAGGAAGGGGGAGGAGCCAAAACAGCAGAACAGCAUGGAAGUUUUUUUCUGUGUCUGGUGUCCAUGAGAUACCGCCAGACCAACAAUCAACUAUCCUGCACACCUAGAAAACUGAUCUGAGGAAUAACACAACAAUCUGCACAACCUGAACCACGGAAUCAGCAGUGUUCUUGUUCUGCCAGAGGUGUCUGGGCCCGCUGAAAACACAGCUGUGAGAAAUGAGGUUUUGAGGAACUUCGAUUCCCAGCGAACAUACUGGGCAUAGACGCAACAUACUCGGACCACUUCCAAAACACUACAGAUUGUCCCUGUCACUAAGUACAAGGUGCAAGUCACGUGCUGGAGACGCCCUGGGGGCGGUGACCGCUUCUCACCUUUGCUGGACUCUGGAUGUCUUACCAUACCUUGUUUGUUCCCUUGACCCUGCUGGAAACUUGGAGAACAGUACCUUUGUUAAAAUCCUUGCAUUUUAACCACCUGGGAAGACACAAGAAGACAUUGUGGAAAAUCAAAAACAAUUCGCUUUUGUUUUUGUUUAGUUUAUAGAACUUCUUUGCUGUGGAUGAAAAGAUUGAUAAGGUGACCUUCUCCAUGUUCCAGCCUAUUUGCACUAUCUGAGCACGUGUGGUGGACAACUUCUUGAUGAAAAGAGAUCACGACUGACAUACACGGGGAGAGUUGCUCGUGCGCCAAAGAUCUUACGAGUCCUUGAAUGGUAUCAAUUGUGUUUUAUGAUUUCCUUGUUCAUCUACUUAAUUAAUUUUGAUUGAGUGGUGCUCUGCCCCAAGAAUUGUGCCAGGUAAUGGGGAUACAUUACAAGCUUCAGUAGAGAGCGCAAACCUGAGAUGGGGUAAAUUCUAACGGAAGCAGAGAGUGCUAUGCGGUACCCAGGAGGGUUAUCCACCCAAAUCCUGUACUGUAAGAUAUGGUUUCCCAAAGGAAGUAACAUCUAAUCUGAAACCUGAAAUUUAUGUACUAGUGAGCCAGAUUAUGGACAACAGCCGGUGGGAGGGAAUGAGUUUUAGUUUUAAGGUAUUCUGGGCAGAGAGAAAAACAACUUGGGCAAAGACCAGCAGGGGAUAAAAAGCAUUUGGGACAUUAAAAGCAUACCUCUUGGGUUAAUGUAUGGAUUGCAGGAGAGGAGGAGAGUUGGGGCAGGAGAGGAACGCAGAGGUCGGAUCACAAAAGGUCUUAUAAGUAAGUUUAAGGAUAUGAGUGUUAUUAUGAGGUCAGUGAAAAGCUGUUAAAUCUUGUAAAGUGGGUGGUGUAUAGCAAAAUGAUAUUUGCAUUUAAGAAAGAUUUACCCUGAGGAUGAACUUGAGAUAAGUAAGCGAGAUAUCUUAGUAGGUUCUCUGGAGUAACCCAGGCCAGAGAUGAUGAGCUGGGUUUGAGACAGUGAGGCUGGACAGAGUGGCUGCAGCAGAAAGGAUGGCUCACGCGGGCCACCUGAACCCAUCCUGUCACAGUUAGGCAACUGCUGUCAUUAUAGGACAGCCCUGCAAAAUGCAAACUGUCCUCUCCUUGUUGGCCUUUAACCAGACUGUGAACGCCCUGCAGGCAGGGAAUAUUUUGUGUCCAUCUCUGUGUCUCUAGGACCUCAGCGGUGCUCAGGGAAUGAAUGUUCUUGAAUAAGUGGAUCUCGGCAACAUCGUAUUUUUUGAUACAAUGGUUACCCUCAUGAUUUCCAGACCCAACACUGUUAGGAGAGUUCUAUAAUGAUUGUGAAGUCAAUGUCUAGGGCUGUUUCAGAGGCACAUGAAGGCGUGAGUGCUUUAACUCAGUUCUCUGUGCAUAUUGAAACGUGCAGGCUGUUUUUCCCUGACUCAGUUCUCUUGUGCCAUCUGCUGGGAUAGCAUUUCACAGCACACCAAAGUGAGAUGGCCAAUGAAGACAAGCCGGAAAGCUCCGUGGGAGAAGUAGCAGACAAAACCCUGGACAGCCUUACAAUUUAGCCGGAGAAACAAGUCUUGUGCCCACGCAGCAAUCCCUGUGCAGUGAACCUUCCCAAGAUGUCCUAGGGUGUUUUCCCCAGACAAAUAUCCCUUCCUACCGGUUUGCGUGCCGACGAUCUUAACUUUCUGCAUUCUUCUUCAGCGUUUGCGACAACUUUACCAUACGAGACGUUAGUAUUAUUACAGGCUUUGAAAUGAGGAAAGAGAAGCAUGGAGAUUGAAAUAAAAUGCCAGCUCUGAGCUGGCCGGGUGGCCGGUCAGAAUAACUUUAAACAAGGAGCCGAGUCAGAACUGAAGCCUGUUUUACUCCCAGGUGCACACUGGACUCACAAAACAUCCCAGACAAAGUAAGACAGAGGUCAAGAGGGGGCAAAGACCCUCCCUCCUCUGUGGCUCACCCUUUGACUGUGGGCCCAGCCAUGUGAUAUCCUUUGGCUAAUGGGAUGUUCGUAGACACGAUGCAGUCAGGGAUUAGAGGAUUGCUUGUGAGGUGGAAUCCGCUCUCUUUUACCUCUGCCGUCACCUGAUGAGCCUGCUGGUCUCCAGAGAAGGAUAAAAGAUGUGGGGUAAAGCUCUUCCAGUGGACUCCUAGACCCACAGAAGGAAGCAAAGCUAUCUAGCCAGACUGCGCCUAGAUCAGCUGAACUCCAGCUCAUUUGCAGUUUCCUCAACUGAUGAAAAGAAAUGCAUACCUUCUAAGUCGUGCUGUGAAGAGUAAAUAAGCUAAGGUAUACAAAGCGCUUCACACUCCUAAAUCAAAGAGGAUACAUAACAAAAGAGGUACUCCAAGAUUCCUGGAUACUAUCUACCGUCUUCAGCAGAGAAAACCCGGAAAACCAUGGUGUUCAGGAUUUUUGACUGUCGUUGCUGGUCCUGCCACACGGUGUCGCUGUUGAGACAGACACCCUUGCCCCGCUUGCCAUCCUCCUGGCCCAAGCCCAGCGACCUUAGGGGAAAGAGGCAGGCACCUGUGUGGAACUAUGGAACGCAGUGAUCUGAGAACAGCUGCUGUACCCUAUUUCAGCAUCCUGGAGAGAUCACCUCUAUUUAGGUACCUGUGUUGGAAGCAAAGCUGUAGGACUAUCACGUGUGCAAGAGGCAACUUGACCCCCACACAUGCUGCCGGUGGCUGCGGCUCAGUUCUGCUGCCUCGCUUACUUCUCAGAUCUUUCAGAGAUACAUCCGGAAGCUCUGUGAUAGAUAGCUUCUUUGCAUGUGGAUGGUUACCACCAUGCUCAAGUAAUUAGCAUCUUCCCCCUGGCAGUAUUGACUAGCAGGUUCCUGCUACAAAGAUGCCCUUGUAGGAGAGCCGCUGUGACAAAAAGUUGGAAAACCCAUCCUUCUGGGGGCACAUCUCUGCACAGAUGAGUUCCUUGGGCCCAGCUGCCUCUGCCCACACUCAUGCAAAUAGGCUGCAACCAGGAGACAGACAGCGCUGAAGAAAUGGUGGAUUCAUAUCAGCAGCUGACUCCUGUCACUACAGCCAGACCUCAGGUCUUUAAAAGUAAAGAGGGUGCCUGCCGUGGGAAGGAUGCUCACGAAGAGAUACCCAACAUAAACCGUCUAAUCCAGAGAGCAAGUUGCCAGCUUAGAUGUACAAUAUGAGUCCAUUUUCGCUAUUUUUUCUUUUAUACUUUUCUAUUGCCUGAAUUU